UGGCUUAGAAGCAGCCACUCAUUAAAAGAGUGCGUAAUAGCUCACUGGUCGAGUGACUCUGCGCCGAAAAUUUAACGGGGCUAAACUAUACACCGAAGCUUGGGAUACAUCUAAUGUAUGGUAGGAGAGCGUUCUGUAUGGGGAGAAGUCGUAGCGAAAGCGGCGGUGGACUAUACAGAAGUGAGAAUGCCGGAAUAAGUAGCGAGAAUUAAGUGAGAAUCUUAAUGGCCGAAAGUCUAAGGUUUUUGGAGGAAGGUUCGUCCGCUCCAAGUAAGUCGGGAGCUAAGGUCAGGCCGAAAGGCGUAGCCGAUGCACAUACGGUUGAUAUUCCGUAACCAUCUGUAAUUUAAGCAAAGGGACACUUCAAAAGGGUGUGACCCGGGCGUUGGUUGACCCGGGCGUAAGGGACCGAAAUUAGAGUAGGGAAGCACACUUGGCUGAAGGCGAGAAAAGCUUUGCGUAUAGAAACAGAUGCCCGUACCGCAAACCGACACAGGUGGACAGGAAGAGAAUUCUAAGGCCAGCGGGAGAAGGGUAGUUAAGGAACUCGGCAAAUUGACUCCGUAACUUCGGAAUAAGGAGUGCUCGAAAGAGCCGCAGAGAAUAGGCCCAGGCGACUGUUUAGCAAAAACACAGGUCUCUGCCAAAUCGAAAGAUGAAGUAUAGGGGCUGACACCUGCCCGGUGCCGGAAGGUUAAGAGGAGGAGUGAGAGCUCCGAAUUGAAGCCCCGGUAAACGGCGGCCGUAACUAUAACGGUCCUAAGGUAGCGAAAUUCCUUGUCGGGUAAGUUCCGACCCGCACGAAUGGUGUAACGAUCUGGGCACUGUCUCAACUACCCACCCGGCGAAAUUGUAGUACCGGUGAAGAUGCCGGUUACCUGCGGCAAGACGGAAAGACCCCAUGGAGCUUUACUGUAGCCUGAUAUUGGGUUUCGGAAAUCUAUGUACAGGAUAGGCGGGAGACUGGGAAACAUGAGCGUCAGCUUGUGUGGAGUCGAUGUUGGGAUACCGCCCUUAGGUUUCUGGAAUUCUAACCUGCGGCCGUGAAUCCGGUCGGGGGACAUUGUCAGGUGGGCAGUUUGACUGGGGCGGUCGCCUCCGAAAAGGUAACGGAGGCGCUCAAAGGUUAGCUCAGCACGGACGGAAACCGUGCCUCUGAGUGUAAACGCAAAAGCUAGCCUAACUGCGAGGGUGACGGCCCGAGCAGUAACGAAAGUUGGAGUUAGUGAUCCGGCGGUAUGUGAAUGGAAAUGCCGUCGCUCAACGGAUAAAAGCUACCCUGGGGAUAACAGGCUGAUCUCCCCCAAGAGUCCACAUCGACGGGGAGGUUUGGCACCUCGAUGUCGGCUCAUCACAUCCUGGGGCUGUAUUCGGUCCCAAGGGUUCGGCUGUUCGCCGAUUAAAGUGGUACGCGAGCUGGGUUCAGAACGUCGCGAGACAGUUCGGUCCCUAUCUGUCGUGGGCGCAGGAUAUUUGAGGAGCUCUGUCCUUAGUACGAGAGGACCGGGAUGGACGUACCUCUGGUGCACCAGUUGUCAUGCCAAUGGCACGGCUGGGCAGCUAUGUACGGAACGGAUAAACGCUGAAAGCAUCUAAGCGUGAAGCCGACUCCAAGAUUAGAUAUCCCAUCGUAUAACGAGUAAGACCCCUUGAAGACUACGAGGUUGAUAGGCUGCGUGUGUAAGUGCCGUGAGGCAUUCAGCUUGGCAGUACUAAUAGGUCGAGGGCUUGACCAC
rnacentral:rRNA from 1 species